GUGUGCCAUGAUAUUAAAAAUGGUAGAUUCCAUACAUAUAAGAAUCUUAGACAUAAUUAUCAGCUCCAUUCAUUCAACUAAUGAGGAUUCUAACAGAGUGAACUGUUUCAUGCUUAAGCCAAAUCAACUAAAUGGAUUUUCUGUUUCCAUUGCAUGCCACACACAAUGUUUCAGUUUGUUAAUCCUAUUGAGCAAGAUUAGGGAGCAAACACAGGCCCCGCAUGUUUGCGAUUCGACUCCUUUUGUCAGUGCAUCUGUUUGCAAACAGUUAGGAGCCUGUAGUUUUGCCGAUAAAGGCAGCAUAUUACUAUGUCCAAGACAAGAGAAACCCGGAGGAGACUAUCAAUGCUGAAUAAAUAACUGGACCCUGGAGGCAAUACAGUAGUUUCGGAAAUGGAUUAGUGUAACCAUACCCUUCUAAGACUACUACUUAAAAACGUGCAAUAUUAUUUACUACUCCCGAAAAUCUAAUAGUAAUAAACUAAGCAGCUGCUUGAAAAAAACAACUAAUCGUAAAAAUGAGGACCUCAGCUGAGGCCACCAGAUUAAAAAACCAAAAAAAUGCAUGGACGCAAACACCACGUAACUGGUAAGUGGUAUGUACUAUGUAGCAUUCGAUUUCUCCGCGUGAUCAGGAAAACCGAGAACAGCAAUGCCUGCCUUGGCAUAAGGCCGAAAGCGUGAUGCCCGUAGAUCCUACUGUGCACCCUUCGAUCGGGGCACAAUCGGCUCGGUUCGGCGCAAAAUUGAGCCUAACUUUCGCAGAGACCGGUAACCCCACACCCCUUUAUCUCGGCGGCCGCACCUGGCGCCGCUGCAGGGCACAGCAAGGAGGAAGAUACAGCCGCCCUAGGGAGGGGGCGAGCCCGCCAUAUGACGAGGGCAGGAAUCUGGCAAUAUCCAAGCAGGUAGAGACAAGGCGCAGGCGGGAAUGGGAAGCGAACAAAAAUCCAGGCAGGGAAGGGGGGCGAUCAUGUACCAGCGCCUCCUAGGAUCGUGGAUCUUGUCGCGGCCCGCUUGCCCUUGUCAUCAUCAUU
rnacentral:lncRNA from 1 species